rnacentral:tRNA from 1 species
AGCAUCUUGGCGCAGUGGCAGCGCGUUGGGCUCAUAACCCAAAGGUCGCCUGAUCGAAACGGGCAGAUGCUA